rnacentral:rRNA from 1 species
AUUGAACGCUGGCGGCAGGCCUAACACAUGCAAGUCGAGCGGAGCGGCGGACGGGCGAGUAAUUCCUAGGUAUCUGCCUGGUAGUGGGGGAUAACGUCCGGAAACGGGCGCUAAUCCCGCAUACUAUCAGAUGAGCCUUGGUCGGAUUAGCUAGCUGGUGGGGUAAAGGCCGACCAAGGCGACGAUCCGUAACUGGUCGGUGAGGAUGAUCAGUCACACUGGAACUGAGACACGGUCCAUACUCCUGCGGGAGGCAGCAGUGGGGAAUAUGGGACAAUGGGCGAAAGCCUGAUCCAGCCAUGCCGCGUGUGUGAAGAAGGUCUUCGGAUUGUAAAGCACUUUAAGUUGGGAGGCGUUACCAGCAGAAGAAGCACCGGCUAACUUCGUGCCAGCAGCCGCGGUAAUAC